rnacentral:misc_RNA from 1 species
UCCAGUUUGUCACUGGCAGUCUCCUUUGAGUUCCCGGCCGGACCGCUGGCAACAAAGGAUAAGGGUUGCGCUCGUUGCGGGACUUAACCCAACAUUUCACAACACGAGCUGACGACAGCCAUGCAGCACCUGUCUCACAGCUCCCUGAGGCACCCCGGCAUCUCUGCCAGGUUCUGUGGAUGUCAAGACCAGGUAAGGUUCUUCGCGUUGCAUCGAAUUAAACCACAUGCUCCACCGCUUGUGCGGGCCCCCGUCAAUUCAUUUGAGUUUUAACCUUGCGGCCGUACUCCCCAGGCGGUCGACUUAACGCGUUAGCUCCGGAAGCCACGCCUCAAGGGCACAACCUCCAGGUCGACAUCGUUUACAGCGUGGACUAC